AUCAUAGUAUUUAUUAUAUUGAUGACAUCAUGUUAAUUGUGUUGGUGCAAGGAAGUGGGAAGUAUUCUGGAUACCUUGGCAAGACCCAUGGGUCUUGAGUCAUAGCCUGAGAGAUAAAUCCUACAAUGAUUUAGGGGUCUGCCAUACUUAUGAAGAUUUUAGGGACUCAAUGGUUUGGGCUAUGCAGGGAUAUCCCCUUUAAGAUGCCAAGAACCUGGACAUCCUCCACCAGAACAAUCUCACAACAUGUCAAGUUUCCAGAGAUUGUGUAUGCUCCUCCAUCGUGAUGGUUCCAGUGUAAAGUGGGGCAAUUUCAUGGCAUCUGGAGCUGCUGAACUCUUCAAUGAUGGAUC